GCGGCCGUGGCGGAACUGGUAGACGCGCAGGCUUCAGGUGCCUGUGUCCGAAAGGAUGUGGAGGUUCGACUCCUCUCGGCCGCA
rnacentral:tRNA from 2 species